rnacentral:tRNA from 1 species
GGAGAGUUGUCCGAGUGGUCGAAGGUGCAGCACUCGAAAUGCUGUGUCCCCAAAAGGGACCCAGGGUUCGAAUCCCUGACUCUCCGCCA